CUAUUAGGACAGUCUUUUAGUGACGCACUAAAACUUGUCCCUAAAAAUCUUAUUAUUAGGGACGAGCAAAUUUUACCAUCCUUAAUAACAGCCUUUAGGGACGAUCAAUUUGAUCCAUCACCAAAUCUCUAAAAUCUGUCCCUAAAAAUAUUUUUUUUGGCACAGUCUAUCUAAUACCUUCCCAAAUUCCACACACAAAAAAAAAAAAAAAAAAAUAGUGCCAAACUUAGCGCUUCAAUAUUCUCUUGUUUGACACUAUUGUAUGCGGCAAAAAUGAAAUAUAUAAAAUUAUUUUAUUUUACAAAAUAGGGAAGCCCAUCAAACUACGUCGUUUUAAUCUAAAAAAAUUAGCAUUUGCAAACCUCUUCCACCAUCACAAACCUCUUUAGUUCUUCGAUCUCAAAAGUUGCAGAUGUCUUCCUCUUUAGUUCUUCGAUUUGACGUUCAUAUAACCCACUUGGGUUCAUGAUCCUCGCCCUAGUUUUUUUUAGGGUUUCGAAAUUGCAAAAGGCUUAACAAUUGAAGGGGUAAAUUACAAAUCUGGAAAAGGCUUGUCGUAUGAGUCUGAAUCGCUGUGGAAAAUCAUACAGCUUGUGGAGAGUGCGCUAAUAUGAAAGUGGACAAAGGAUUAACAUCAUCGCCUGUUUCUCAGCUUCCACUAGAGUAACCAAAACAGAAGUCUGAAAGGAAGGUAUCUAUAGAAGCAGACUGAUAAGAAUGAUAAUGACAGAUAAGUCACAUAAUUCUAAUGCCUCUUUGUUCUUGCGUAGAAAUCUUUAUAUUGACUUAAUGACAUUCAACUUUAGAGGUACGAAGACUUAGUUCGUGAUUCUUAUCAUGCUUGGACGAUUUGUAGACUUGAAGAUUUCAAUUCUUGUAAAGGUCGACUAGAAAUGUCAUUUGUAGCCAUUUUGUCAAAUGUGUAUAUUUAAUUCCAAACUUGUAUUAUGUGCUUAAGCACACUUUUUGGUAUUCAUUCUAUGUAUAUGAUAUGUGGCCAAAGGCCAAACUUCAUUUGUAAUCCAUGUAUAUUGAAAAAUGUAGAAUUUUGCCUUUAAUAAGAAAAGCAUGAAAACUUGGGUUUCAAUAUGUCAUUUUCGCACCGGUGUGUGCAUUGUGUAUGUAAUUCAUCCUUUAGCAUUCAUUUGCCAUAUGUGAGGUGUGGCCAAUGGCCAAACACCAUUUAGUUUUCAUUUUUACAUUUUAGUUCACAUAUUGCAUUUUUGGGCUAAAAUAGUAUAAACUGAGCCUUUAAGGCUCCAUUUUCAACUCGGGUGGUGUAAAGUGUGUUCCGGCACCUCCACUAGGUCUCAUUUAUCUUGUAUGAAGUGUGGCUAAGGACCAAACGGUCAUUUGAAACCAUUUCCUAAUUUUGGUUUCCAUAUUUUCCAUUUCAAGUUCAUUUUCGCCUUUUUGGCCGUUGGGGGGUCAGAUUUUGACUCGGCCAUUUUCGGGAGCCGCGGACUAUUCCCCCGUGCUCAAAAUCACCAUUUAAGUCUGUGUGCAUGAUCAUUUCCAGGAAAAACCCUUUCGUUUGUGUUUUGAGACUCCAAUCGACUCGUUUAACCUUUUUAUUGAAAAUUCUAGCUUAAAGGCAUUUUGGGAAUUUCCUUCUUGAAAUAAAUUCCGUUCCUAACUUUGUCUCUUAGAAAAUGUGAUUUUAGGGGGAGUUUCUUCUUCGUAUUUUUCCAAAAAAUGUCAUCUUGACCACGAAAACCGCGUUGCAAACUCAUUUUUUUGCUAAAAUUACUAUUUCUGCAUUUUUUGAGGUUCCAAACCACCCCACUGCCUCAUUUGGCAGGCCCCCGCAGUGUUUUGGCGGGCGCCCGCGAGAAUCUGCCGCAUUUGGCCAGCCCCCGCAGGUUUUUGGCUGGCUCCCGCGGGAACAAUUCCUGCUCCAGACAUCUUUCUUCAACGGGCCAUAUCUCACUCGUUUUAACUCUGAAUUGGUUCGUUCUUGAGUCUAAACUGACCGCGUCGAAAUAAGAUUUCCAAUGGUACCAAUUAGAGCUCCAGAUUCCAUUUUUAGCUCAAGUUAUUCAUGUUUUAGCAAGAUAGUGUCAGAAUUUGGUUCGAACCGGGAUAGGGUUUUCCUUCCUUCGACUUCAGGACUUUAUAUCUUUGCCGUCCGAACUCCGAAUCAGGUGAUUCUUGAGUCCAACUUCAUUCAUUUUUCAUUUUCUAUCUAAUGGUGUACACGGGGGCACUCAUUUUAGUUUGGAAUUACCAUUUUACCCUUUUAGCCAUAAGUGCUCAUUUUUCUUCGUCUUGUCGUUUCUCCUUCAUCUGGACUCCAAAUCAUGUGAUUCUUGAGUCCAUCUUGAUUAGUUUUUCAUUGUCUUUCCACCGGUGUGCUCAGUGGCACCCGAAUCUAUAUUCUCACAGAUGAUAAUUUUGCCCCUGGGGUUUUAAUUGUUACUUUUCCGAUCUCUUGCUUCCGCACUUAUCCCUUUGGGUUCCGUGACCUCAUGAAAGGUCUUCUUAGGGUCUUUAAAGUGUGUUAUGCUUUGGAAGACCAUUGUAUUGUUUCUAGCUUUUGCAUCUUGGAUCCAGUUUGGGUCAUCACAGGACACUGGGUUAAAAAAACCCAGGGUCGUUACACGUCGGAACUCCAUUCACAAAGACAAAGAACCGAACGCUAGAAAUGCAAAAAAGAAUCCAUCUCCUCCACUGCCCACCAAAACCCAUCAUCUACAACAGGUAGAGAAGGAAGUUCCAGCUCACAUGGUCGUACGCCUUUUCAAUAUCCAACUUACAAAGAACACCUGGAACACUGCUGCUCAAACGAAAAUCCACACAUUCACUAGCAAUAAUAACUGAAUCCAAAAUAUGACGACCUCUCGCAAAGGCAUUCUGAGAGUCAGAAAUGACGCCAUCCAUCACCUUUUUCAACCUAGAGGCCAAGACUUUCGCAUCACCUUUUUUGAAAUCUCUAACAUCCAUUGCCUUUCCCUUAUUCGGAAUAAGAACAAUAAAAGUUGUAUUUAAACUUUUCUCAAAAGAGCCCUGCACAUGGAAGGCGUGAAAAGAGCCCAUCAGCUCCUCACGAACCACAUCCCAAUAUUCCAAAAGGAACCUCAUAGUAAAACCAUCAGGCCCAGGGGCUUUGUCCCCAUUACAGCUCUUCAGAGCAGAGAGAACUUCCUCUUCUGAAAAAGGCUCUUCCAAAAUAGAGCAUUCCUCUCCCAAAAUAGAUUCAAGUAAAGCCCAUCAUGCAAAGGACGCCAACCUGCUAAUUCAGUGAAUAACUUCGAAAAGUACUUAGAAAAACUCUUACAAAUCUCCUCCUCUUUACUAAUCAACACCUCAUCCACCCGAAUCCUCCCAAUGCGGUUGCCCCUUCUGUGAGCAUUGGCAAGUCUAUGAAAGAAUUUAGUGUUAUUAUCACCUUCCUUAAGCCACAAAGCUCUAGAUUUCUGUCUCCAUGAAAUCUCCUCCAUGACAGCAAUCUCAGCAAACUCUGCUUGACACUCCACCCUUCUAAGCUUCAAAGGAACCGUCAAAAGACCCAGACUUUCCAUCUUAUCAAUAUCAGCAAUCUCAGAGAGAACCCGAUUCUUCCUCUAAGCCAAAUUACCAAAAACCUCUUUGUUCCAAACUUUGAGAUCCUUCUUUAAAAAACGCAACUUGCCUACCAAAGAAUGACUAGGAGUGCCAGCCACUCCAUACCCCGCCCACCAGGAUCGUACUCGCUCUAGAAAGCCUUCAGCCCGGAACCACAUAUUCUCAAAUCUAAAAGGGGAUCCCUGCUACGCAGCCCACCACAAUCCAACAACAACGGAACAUGAUUGGACAAAGGAUGAGCAAAAGUGGCUUGAACAACGUCAGAAAACUUUUCAUCCCAAUCACUUGACACCAAAAAUCUAUCAAAAUGAGAAAGAGUAGGAGGAAAACGUCCACUGGACCAAGUGAAAGGCCCACCCACCAAAGGAAAAUCAAGCAAAUAGAAAGCAUCAAUAAACUCUGAAAAAACCAUCAUAUCAGCCGUCCACCUGCCCCCUGUCGACCUCUUAAAAGGGGAACGCACAACAUUGAAAUCCCUUAUGAUACACCAAGGCAGCGACCAUUGCCUACGAAUUUCCCCCAGCUCUUCCAAGAGCAAAUGGCAAUCACGAUCCUUCGUAGGCCCAUAGACUCCAGAAAAAACCCAGCAAAAGCCAUCCUCCACCAUGGACAAAACACAAGACGCUGAGAAAAACCCAACCUGAGAGUCCAACAAUAAGAUCUAACGAACAUCCCACAUAAUCAGGAUAUUACCCGAAGAGCCAAUCGCAUCCAAGGCAAACCACUCCACGAAUCUCCCACCCUACAAGCUUCGAACAAUCACAUCCGACAUUGAGGCAAUCUUGGUUUCUUGAAGACACACUAGAUGACCGCCCGCUUUUUGAAUCACCGAUUUCACCAUUUUCCUAGUCGGGUCGUUGAGACCCCGGACAUUAUUCCAUGAAAGAAUUUGUAGCUUUAUAGGGAAACAGUAGUGUUAACCAUCUCACCUCUCUGUCCAUUGGCUCUCUCCUUAGCCCCUCUCCUCCUCCUUUCAUAAGUAACGAGAGUCGAGGGACUUGGACUCCCUCUCUCCUCUUUCUCUAUUGGAACACUCCCCCUACUAUCCAUUGUAUCCGCAAACUGAGCAUUAAGAACAUCAAGGAAUAAACUUGUCGCCUCCUCUAUCCGACCCUCAAAAGACACACCCAAAAGAGAACCUAUCUCAACUUUCUUUUCCUUCAUCCAAUCAUUCUCCAAAUCAGUCAACCCUACAUCAAAUCCCAUCCCUUCUGCAAAAUUCCCAUCCGGUCUAACAACAGCCAAAGGUGUAAGCAAAUCAAAAUCAGACUCGCAUCCAUUCCACAAAAUCAUACCCAAAUCACCAUGAACAGAGGAACACGACCCAUCAUCCCCAUACUCAACAGAUGACAAAGAUGGAGAGUAGCAAAAAAGUGGGGUCUCAUCAGCCAAAAGAUCAUUCUACUCAAUAAGAGAACCCUUUGACCCAAGAUAAGCCCUCAAAUCAUUCAAGAGCACAGCAGCUGAAACAUCAUCAAUCCUUAUCUUCACAUCCUGGCCCACACACACAGUAAUUCUAUCACUGCUAACAUCACACAACUGAGAGGAACCCAUCUCAAUACCACCAUCUUCACCAGGUCUUUUCUCAAAAAUGGGUACUGGCUCCCUUUCAAAAAUCGGGGAUAAGCAUUUUGAAACAGAAGACACCACUCCCUUUUUCGGCACCAAGCUCCUUCGUGAUACCCCGCAAAGGUGAAAAGAGGAAGGAGAAGAGAGAGAAGGAGAAGGAUCAGGCGAAACAAAAGACAUACCAGAUCUAGAGUCAAUCUGCGAAACCGGAAUCCACUUCUGCUUUUCCUUUCUAGACCAUUUUUUGUGAAGAGGGGGAAAUAACAUUUUCUUCUUCAUACGGUGUCCCUGCGUAUGCCCUUAGGAAGCCAAUUUCUUCUCGAUCCUUCUGGGAAAGCUCUAGAUGGAUGAAUGUCAACGUCUUCCACAACAUCACAUAAAGGCCCUAUGAUACCCCUCGGAUCCGAGACACGGGUUGAUUAGGCCUAGGCCCAAACCCAAGAGAAUAUCAAACAAUUAAUAUUUAAUGCGAACACAGAAUACAAGAUGAAAUAAUAAGAAGUAAAUAAAAAUGGCUGAAAAGAACUCUAAUUGAAAAUCCUCAAAAUAAUGUUAUAAAAAUCCAAACUCCAAAACCUCCAAUCAAUUAACAACUCGGGAAUCCAUUUAGUGGACCCCUAAUAAAAAUCCUAACUAUAAAUGAAAUAACUGAAUUAAGAUCCAAAGCUAAUAAGUAAGCAAUCCUACGUAGUCGGUGGAAUAGAAGUCUGUAUCUGCUCUGCACGACCAAGCUCUAACCCUGGAACUGACGAGCACCUGAAAAAAUAAAAGAGUGGGUCAGGCUCACAUUCAAGUCCUGAUCUACUACGAUCCAAACAGGAAUCCGAUACGCAGAUACAUCCUAGAUAGACUUAAUAAUAUCUAGAGUAGUCCAUAUAUGUAUAUAUUACACACUAUAGGAUGUUCACUAGUCCAAUAGGUCUGUCUCAGCUUGAGUAGAGAUACCAUGCAAAUCGCACAUUACGUGGUCAUGUGUACCUAAACCUACUAGGGAACAAUAACUACUGUCCAGCUGUCCAUUCUAGGCGAUAUACGCACCCUAAUCAUGGUCAUGAGACUCAAGCUCAUACCAUGGCAUCAUACCAUAAAUAUAUAAAGUCCGUGUCCUCCCAAUACAAAAUAUCAUCCAUCUGAUAUAGUGACUUGAUAUCUGUAUAACAAUUCAUCCCAGAAAUCCAACUAUGUCAUUCCGUUAUUUACAGACCUGACACUAACAGAAGUCGGACUUAACUUUUAUUGUUAAUCCAAACCUCAAUCCAGAUUAGGUAGGCUUAGUGUCUGACUAAUCCAUACCUGGUAUAUAUGCUACCAUCCCAUACCGGUGCAUACUAUCCUCCAUUUACCAUAGUUGACACAAACAGUAUAAAUAGUUAUCAACUACAUUCCAAAACAAGUACAAAUACAAUUUAACAUAUGUAAAACUAAAUCAUGCAUCCAAUAACAGAUUUAGAAACCAAAUCCCAGUCCUUUAAAUUGACAGAAUCCAACUAUGCAAUUACCUCCUCCAAGCAGUGUCGUAACAGAUGAGAUAUAUAACAGAGCUAAUUGUCAGUUAAUCCCAACCAAACAUACUUAUAAUUAAAUAACAGAAUGCUUAUAACUCAGCUGUAAAACAUGAUUCAUAACUUAAGAUCAUGCAAAGGCAUCAAAUUUUUAAAAUAGUCUGCAAUACAAGUCAAUUGUUCAAUCUUCCACAUACAGAUCUUGGUUUAAUCUUAUGUUAAUUCCGUCCUCAAUAUUUAAGAGUAAAACAUACUUCCCAACAUUAAUAUAAGUUUUUAGCAAUGCAUUACACCAUUCUGUGGCCUUUAAAUAAUUUUAGAAAACCCCGUUUCGCCAAACAGUCCCUAAAAACCUCGUUUUUGUGUGUUUUAAGAGAGAGCAGGCUCUUAAAAUGGGAGCCUGCUUUAUUUUUUCAUCUAGAGUGGCUCUAGGCUCUUAGAGCCGGCUCCACAACACCAAGAGCCAGCUCUCCCCUUUGGGAGCCGGCUCUAAGAGGUUUGGGAGCCCUCUCUCCCUCCUCUUAGCAGCCUCUGUUCGUUUCAUCUUCCUCCUCUCCAAUUCUGAUAAUCACCAGUCCUCUGUAGUAGUUUUCAAUACAUGUUUUAAAGUCCAUCCAGAUUCCAUAUUGGUUAUAGAACAAGAAUAUACAAUCAAAACUUGAAUUGAAACAUAAGUUGUAACACAACGCAGCAAGGUUUCAGGUUAAAAUUUUAAAGCAACUAAGAACAGAUUUAUUUCAUGAAUUUAAUUACAGAUUAAACAUGCAUAACAGAUGUAAUUAAGCCUUAGUUUAAUCCUUGGAGUCUUUCUAAGCAUGCACAGAACACAGAUUAAAGGGAUAGAGUAGAACAAAACUUGUCUUUGAGUUUCAGAUUUGAAACUCUAAUUCCACAGUUUCUGAAUGCUACGUUAGUGUCCUAUACUGCAGGUUUACUCCUCCGGUAAUUUGGUUCCACCCAGAAACAACCUUGUUCCUUCCUCCUUGAACUGCUUUGUUAAGCACCCAAGGUCACUCUGUGUUUCCUCCUCUGUAUCUCUCUGUGUCACAGACUUAAGUUUACGUUUCUCUAAAACCCUAAACCCCAAUAUUCUUAUGUAUUUAUAGGGUUCAAGUAACCAAACCUUAUUCCCAUUCUAACUAUGAGUCGGCCACAUUAAAACCCAAAACCCUAAAUUACGAUAAAGAAAAAUAAAUACACAACAAAUUAAUUAAUUAAAUCAAUUAAAUAACUAUAGUAGUUAAAACAGUAAAAGACAACUCAUUAAUUAAAAACACUUAAACAAUUAAUGCAAGAGAAUACAAUUAACCACUUAAACAAAUAAUUCCAAUUAAGUAAACAAAAUAAAAAAAAUUAACAAAUAAUUGAAUAAAACAAUUAAGCGAACAAUUAAAUAAAACAAUUAAGCAGAUAAUCAAAUAAUAAUAAAUUAAAUUCCUGAAAUAUCCUUUUAAAAUUAGGGGUAUUACAGGCCCGUAACGGUUGCCGUUACUGACCCAGAAAAAACAUUAGGAGAACCCGGUCCUCCCUUCAAUUCACAACCCAAGUCAAUGAGUCCUUGGCCAAGAUAUAUAACAUCUGAUGAGUGGGCCGCUCCACCUCCAUCCGGACCACAAGAUGACAAUUUACCUUUAUCAAUAAAUCCAGGCUCGCCAACCAUAGGCCUACAAGAAGAAAAUGAGUUCGAUCCAGAAACCUUACCCACCAGCCCAUUAUUAGGCCCAGCCACCGAUUUAAUCCCAAAUUCGGCCUUAUUAUUUUUCGAAGCCCAAGAUUUUGAAAUAAAAGUGGAUGCAGCUGUCAUCCACUUUGAACGGCCAAAUCAUCUGCACCAACCACGUGUAUGGCCGUUAAUCUUCCCCUUCCCACGUGCUUGAUUGACGUGAGAAACACUAUGGCGACGCUCCUUCCUCCACAUCUGUGUGAACGCCGGACGGCUAAACUCGAUGAGACCACCACCCUUAUGUCUUUCCCAGAAUCUCUUUUGCCGUCGAAGAUCAGUCCCAUCCGAAAAGCCUUCUAUCCUUCUCACAGUGAAUAAUCUUCUAAAACAUUCUGAGUUACGCUUCCAUAGAUCGUCCCUCCAUUCCUCCCAUCUCUGAAACUUAGCCAAACCUUUCUUCCCCAAAGAUUCCCACCUUAACCAUUCUGUCUUCUUCAGCAGGUGUGAACCAUCACCUUCUUCCAAACUAUUCGUCGUUGACACAAGUUCAGGAGGCUUCUCUUCCCACAUCUUUACUUUGUAGCUUAGACGAUCAUCGUGGAUGAAAACAAAAGGAGGACAAACCUUGCCAUCGAACACUAUGAUGCGAACCCUUUCAGCGUCAAUUGCUUCAUCAACUUCCACCCAGAUGAUACCAUCGCAUAGAUCACCGACCAUCACAAACAGGGCAUACUCCAAAGAUAGAGAGGGAGACCAUACAACGUCACAAUCUUCAGGCCCUUACCCUUUAACACCUCGGAACACCCAACCCUAAAACUCCAAGAUUCCACUAGUAAUGUGGCCGUCCCCCAAACACGGCGACCUUCUUUGAGCACAUGAGAAACCUCCUUCGAAGAGGGGAAGCGAAAUAGCAACAAAGAAUCUGAUAGAGGAAAGACCACAGCACUGGAAGAAACCUUCCAAACACGAGAAACCCAAGCCGCGAUUUGAGCCCUAUCACCCACAUCCUUGUCGAACUUACCCACCAAACAUGAUCGAAUGUCUCUCUUCUUUUUCCAACCGAAUCAUUAUCCAAAAAAAACGAAUGCCGUCGAUAAGUGUUUGCAGAUCUAACAGUUCCACCUUGAAAUAGACGGGGUAACCUCGCAACAUCCAAGAACGACCUCAUUCCUCAAUAUUCAUAACACCCACUGAUUGAUGCAGAUGCAGCAAUUAACAGCUUUGCUGUGAAUUAUUUUGAAACAUUAAUUAGAAGGAUGUAAACAUUACAAGUUUAGAUUAUAGGGGUUUAAUUAUUUUUGUUGAUUUAGGUCAAUCAGAUGUGUUUGAUAAUGGGUCAUCCGGAGAUAAUUCUGAGGAUUCAAUGUUUGAUAUUGAGAACCUUAAAAGGCCUGAGCUAUCAAUUCAGCAUCCAAGAUCAAAUGUGCAUCAAGACAAUGACUCUCAUGGGCUUUUGAUCGAGCAACCCUUCAAGCCUAUUCUUUAUUUGGAAAAAGAUGUGCCAAACCUUGACCACGAAGAAUAUCCAUUUCCAGCAAAGGGCUUGAGCAUGACCUAGGACAGGUUAAGAGAUCAGGUUUUUUAUUUUAGGGUUGGAAACAUCCUGAUAUGAUGUUUGCUACAAGGCGCAGCUUAUCUGAUGCAUGCACUUCUAUAGCUAAACAGCUUGAGAAUGUUUACUCAUCGGUUUCGCAUCACCUCGAUAUUCACAUGUCAUAAGGAAAAUGAUGUUUGUUGAUAGUGUUUUACGUAUGUGUUGCUCUGAUGUACUGGAGAUAGGUAGCUCAGCUCAGUUUAUCCUUUGUGAUAUGAUUCCGAUCCAGAAUAUAGUAGGUCCUCCGUUAAGCAUGGGAAGCACCAUUGGUUUGGAAGAGAAGUUGGAUACAAUUCAGAAGCUACUUGAGCAGCAACAACAUUUUCAUGAUUGCAUUUAGUUUAAAAUGAUGUUUUAAUUUUUGAGGAUGUUUGGAACCAUUUGAUGUUAAAGUAGCUAGUAGAUACUUUUAGUUCUUGUUUACAAAACUAAAGAAUUUGUAGCUUCUUCGUCAGAUUAAGAGCUCGUUUGUUGGCAUUGUAUUGUGAUGAUAAUCUAUUUUUUUCUUUCUAGAAUGA